UCAAGCUCAGGUCUGGGUUACUGACUUCCAAAUCAGCAGUCUUUCUUCUGCAUUCAUUACAUCACUUUGGAAAAAAAAAAAUCAAGGAAGAAAGAAAGUUAAUAUAUUUUAGGCAACCUCUUUAGUCCCAGGGUAUCACCUGUCUUCAGCUCUGCAAGUGGAAACAUUAACAGAGGGUGUCGGUCAACAGUCGCUGAAUGUUUACCAUCAGGUGAAGACCUCAGGACCAAGAGCCAGGGAAACCUCCAAGAUAUGGAACUGGACAAAAAACACACACAUAAAGUCAUGGACAGAAGAACAAAAUAAGAUGAUCUAACAAAUGAUGGAAAGCGGCAGUAUCCGCAGUGGCAGACUGCUUUGGAAGGCCAAGUGAAUGGAUGUGCCCCUCCCAGCCUGUGUAUUUGACACCAGUUCAUGGACCUUUGCUGGUGUCUACUGUGGGGCACGGGUGAGCAGUGAUGCUGGGGGCCAUGAUGGCCCUGCCUGCGCAGAUGGGGGACAGGCAGUGGCUCUGCAGAUCCAUGGUUCCUCUGACAGGGAACACGGGAGCCAGUGGAGCAGGGCAGGAGUGCAGCCCACAGAGGCCUGGAGCCAUCAGGACAGCUGAGCCCUGAGUACCCAGCAUGAGUUACAGGUGAAGAGACACAUCAAGAAGAUAAAGUCCUUGACAUUCUGCAAAGAGACGCCAGGAGCCAGGAGAUGCACAGCCUGUUCCUGAGGUGAAGGAGACAGAUACCCAUCUCCUCAGCUGUGGGGUGAGCAUAAGCAUUUGGCACCCGCCUUUGCAAAGGGUCAGGGAUGGUUUCAGCUCCACAAGGGACGAGAAGCCAUUCAUCUCUGAAGUCAACGUUAAAAGCAAAAGUGAACCAAUUUACUCUUCCCUUUGGCUUGCAAGCAAGCAAUAAUU